CCACCCGUAACCCCAUCCGCUCAAGCUCUCCUCCUCCGCUGCCGCCGUAACAGCGUCAGCACCCUUGGCUCCAGAAUGAACGCCGUGGCCAAAUCCAACGUCGUCAGCUUCUGCACCUGCUUCGCUAUCUACGCCAGGUGCUGCGACUCCAGCUUCACCACCGAGCUCAUGAUGGCCAUACAUCUACGAGUCCCCUCCACCUCUUGUGAAGUCACCACCACCACCGGUUUACAUUUAUGCAUCUCCCCCACCUCCAAUUCACUAUUAAGCAUAGACCGAUCAUGUUUUAAUUUAAACAGUGGAAUAAAGGAAGGCUCCCAAAGUGGAAAAUUGAGGCAUCAAGCUUCCAAUCCAAGUCCAUUCAAUAAGGGUCUGGCAGAAACUUCAAUGAUC